rnacentral:lncRNA from 1 species
UGGUACAACGGUAUCAACUUUAUGGAAGGUCAAAAAUAAAAUUUUGUUGUUUUGCUGGUGUAUCAGCAAUUGUGCAGGUGCACAAAGCAAUGCUCCAAAAAUGGCACAAGAAGCAACAGUCCAACUAACAAUAUAGCAUGUCACUGUCCAUUCGGAUCAUCAGGAACAUUAUCUUCCCCCAAUUUUCUUUUUCUUUUUAAUGAGUAAAGAAUUUUGUCAUACAUGACACACUGAAUAACUUUUUAAUAUAUCAUUUAAAUAUUUUCACCCGCUCAAAAUAUUUCCUUAAGCUCUGCCACUGUUGAAAGGGAGAAGACACAUAUUGGUUAUGCUUCCCUGUUUCUCUGUUCAAGUUAUUUGCAACUCCAUUUCUCUCAUUAUUUUCCUGCAUCUUGAACGCCAAAACCAUCCUUCGGAAAAGAUGAAUUUCUCUAGUAAUGUCCUUCACACCACGACACAUAAACAUUGUUAAUGGACAAGGGUUCACUACCAUCUACGUGCUUGAUUUGUAAGUUGUAACUUCCUUCAAUAUCCAACAGUGAUACGUACGUACAAGGAACCUCAGGUAUUGGUACUCAACAACCAAAGUACUAAGGUUUCGUUCAUUACCCAUGAUAUAUUUUAAAAAUGCUGACCAGGUCUCGAGUUUUUUUUUAAAUUCAAAAUUUAAUCCUUGUAAUUGGUAAAAGAAUAUAGCCAUUUGGACCAGGCUUUUUUUGUUAUCCCUUCCAAUCUGUUUAUGUGCUAUUCCUUCCAAAUGAUACCAUUUUCAUGGAGUGGGUUUACGAUUAAAUAUUAACACAACUACACAAUUGUCAUGUGAGAUAUAAACAACUUGAAAAAAAACAAUAAAAAAAUCAGAUGGCAUGUGAACUCAUUUGAAGAAACCCACCACACCACAAAUAUGUCAUUUUAGUAUCUCUAAGUAUCCAAUAACAACUUACAAGAUGAACUAAAAUUGUCCUAUUUAAAAUAGGGAAAUUCACACACACAAAAAUAAAAAAAAUUAAGAUGAGAUAUAAGAUUAACUUGAUAGGAAAGAAAAAAGAAAAAAAAAUUAUGAGUUCAAAUCUUUUUAUUAAAAAAAAUUAGCAUAUCAAUAAUUAAUAUUUAUUGAUAAAAAAUAAAAAGAUUAAAACUACUCAUUGUUUAUGUUAAGGGAUCAAAAAGAGUAAUUAAGUAUAAAAAAAUACUC